rnacentral:lncRNA from 1 species
GAAGAGAAAGAAGGCCUUUUAGAAACGCUGUCUAUUAUUGGAAGGAAAAAUAAGGCAGCCUCUGAAACUACCCUCCUAGUCCUCAAACUAGAGAAAUAAAUGAUCAGAGUAGAGAGUUACAGAGAGGUGGAUGGGCCACCUGACUAAGUCCUAUAUUUUUGUGAUUCUAACACCUGUUGGGGAGCACCUCAUAGGCCCCCACUCCAUGAAGCACUCGAUACACACUGUCUGAAUGAAUCUUCAUGACAAUCUGUCAUCCUCCGACAUGAGUCAGAGAUGCCAUCUUGACCUAAUCAUUAACACCUCUGUGCCUGGCCCUCUUCUAAUGCCAGGGUAAGAAUUAUCAACAAGUAUGUGGAAAUGCCCCAAGGAUUUUUAUGCCAAGGAAUAGGAAUAGAGAGGAAGACAGUGAGCCAUACUGAGAGGGCUGAUAACUUUGAUGCAGAAGGGGGAGGGGGAGAAACAUUAUAAAUUAAUGGGAGAAUAGGGAGAAAAGGAAAGGCAGAUUCAAUAAGCAGUUCCAAAGGAUGAGCCUCAAAAUAAGUGUCUUUCUUCCUUGGAAUAUUACUGUUUUGUGCUGGCUUGAGAAACUAGACUACCUCCCUCUGCUUCAGAAAAUAGGAUAACAGGAAACAGUUUCAGAUUCCACAGUGAUUAUAGCUACUUAAGUUUGACUUACCAAAUACUGUCUCAAACAGAUGGUAUGUAGCAUUUGAUUAAGGGCUUAUCCUGCAAGCCCAACAGGGAACAUUUCUUUCCCUCUUAAUAUAGAAAAGAUGUAGAGAAGAAAGGAAAGAAACUGCCAUCCUUGCCUGUAUUCCAUGUGCAUCAGUUUAGCCCAUGUUUGUACGUCUCACAAAUGAAUCUGUGCUUAUUAUGCGGCGCAAGAUCAAACUACGUAAUGUCGACCCCAUUGAAUCCUGGUCAGAAGGACAUUGAGGAUCAUCUGCUCUAAGCCCCUUAUUUUACAUAAGGAAGUAGAGACAGAGGUAGGUCAGCUGAUUUGCUCACAGUCACAUGGUGGUAAAUCUGGGACCAGGUCUUCUAACUCUGGGUUUGGCAUUCAUGUUAGCCUGGAUAUGUACAGAAGGUUCAUCGUGGGGGAAACAUACAAAUGUAUCAGCACCAUUAUUACUAAAUUAGCAUCAAGAUGUGAUGAGUAAUUAUCAGAACUUGACACUGAUGGGUAAUGCCAUUCAAGUCCAGUUAAUGAGCCAAAAGCUUGGUUCUUCAAAACACUUAACAUUAAUCAGCAUUUGGCUUCAGUUUGUGACAAGUGUUUUCAAAACACUGCAGACAAUUACAGUAUUCUUAGCAUGGCCUAGUGUAAAUACACAAUGAAAGAAAGUCAGAAUUUCAUAAAUGACAGUUUUCAGAAUGGAAAUAAUGAGUCCCAUGGAUACAAUGUGUUCAUCUUUCCAGAGGCCAAAUGUAAUCUGGAAACUCACGAGGUUCUGAGAGAUUACAAAGUGUGAACCUUGUGCUUGGUGAGGUAAAAAAGGCCCUCUUUUCACAAGAGCAGAGCAGAGCCAGCAAGUAGGACCAGCCCCUUAGUGCAGUUACACAGGAAUUACCCCAGACCUCACACCCCAUCUCCCACUCCCCACACACCACCUACCCCGGUGGUCACCAGCAGUGCCCCAGGGAAGAGGGUUUCCCAGCAUUUGGGGGAAAAAAGCAGCAUGCUGAGAGGAAAUGGGAACUCGAUACAUGGUGGCCUGGGGCAUUAAUUUAUUAUCUAUCCAUCUAUCCAUCCAUCCAUCCAUCUAUCUAUCUACCUAUCACCUAUCUAUUUAAAGUUACAGGAUAAAGACCCACCUGCGUUAAUGUUAGGUUUUCUGAAAGAUGAUUGCUUCAUUCCCUGGGCUUAGGACAGCAUUACUCAUCAGCUAGUCUUACGUUAAUAAAAAAUGUGUUAAUUGAUCAGUCAUUGUUGAUCGGCUCAUUAAUAGCUAACACUUACUGAGAAGUCAUAUGCCAGAACUAAUGCUAAACGCUUUCCCUGCAUUAUCUCAUUUACUUGUUACUGUGACUCCGUAAGAUGAUAAUAAUAGUCAUAAUUACAUUCAGGCAUUUAUUCAGCACAUGUAUUGAGCACCUGAUUGUGUGGUAAAUGGUUCUAGGCAUUGGGGAUACAGCAGUGAAUGAAGCAGACAAAGCCCCCUGCCUUUCUCUUAGGUAACUUAAAUCAGUUGGCUAUUACUGUAUAACAAAUCUCCCCAAGACUUACUGACUGAAAACAAUUAGCACUUACUAUUGCUCAUAAAUGUACGGGUGUCCUGAGUGAGUUUCCUUUCUUUCUUUCUUUUGUCUUCAUCUCACUUUUCUUCUUUUUUUUUAUUAUUAUUAAAGUAUAGUUGAUUUACAAUGCUUUGUCAAGUUCUGUUGUACCACGAAGUGACCCAAUCACACACAUUUCCCUGUGCUGUACAGUAGGGUCCCAUUGCCCAUCCUUUCCAAAUGUAACAGUUUACAUCCCCAAAACCUCCCAAAUGCCCAACCAUCCCCUUCCCUCCCCCUUCCCCUCCAGAAACGCCAAGUCUGCUCUUCUUGGCCAUGAUCUGUUUCUGUUUUUUGCUCUCUUGUUUGUUUGUUUGUUAUUUUUAGAUAGGAUCAUCUGUUCCAUAUUUUAAAUUCCACAAAGAAGUGAUAUCAUACGGCACUUGUCUUUCUCUUUCUGACCGACUUCACUUAGUAUGAGAGUCUCUAUAUCCAAAUGGCAUUAGUUUGUUGCUCCAAAUGGCAUUAGUUUGUCUUUUUAUGGCUGAGUAAUAUUCCAUUGUGUAUAGGUAUUGGCGUGGGGUUUCUGGGGGUUUGCCUGGACUCUCUCACGUGCAUGUAGCUAAUGGGCAGAUUGGCUGGUUGAGGGGGGCUCCUCUCCAGCAGCCCCUCAGGACUUGUUCUUCUGGUCAAGUUGAGGGCACUGAGAGGAGGCAUGGAGAUGUGCCAGGCCUCUUGAGGCCUAAACUGAGCACUAGAAGAUACUCACUUCCACCACAUUCGACUGGCCAAAGAAUGUCAUUAGGCCAGCCUAGAUUCAAGGAUGGGGAAGUGGAGUCCACCUCAUGAUGAGAAGAGUUGCAAAGUCACACUGAAAUGCACAUGGACAUGGGGAGGUCAUGAAUGCAACCCAUCCACUAUGUACUGUAAUGAUGCCUAAAAUGAUGCUAAGGAAUUCAUGAAAAUAUUUCAUUUGAGCGUCACACUAACCCUGAGAGUCAAGUUCUACUAUCAAUCUUUGUUCUCCGGAUGAGAAAAUUGAGGCCUAGGGAGGUUAAAACUUUCCCUAAGAAAGAUAUACACAAUGGACCAGGAUUUAAACUGGAGGCUCCAGUGCCUGAGCAUCAAACCACUGUUUGGUCCAGCCUGGGCACUUAGAGAGACAGGAUAAAAUGUGGCCACUACAUGCAAGGCACAUGUAGUCCUACUGGGCAUGUAUGACAUACAUCCAAAAAGAAUCAGUUACUGUAUAUGUCACUAAACUACAUUUGCUAACUGCCCAACAGGGAGUGAGAAUAAAGGUGGCUAAGACAAGGAACAGAAGCUUCCAUGAAUACAGCAGUUCCUCAGAGGAAAGGGUUCCCUAGCAUCUAGUGGGGAAGAAACAAUAUACUGAGAGGAGUUGGGACCUCAACACGUGGUGGCCUGGGACAGUUAAUAUAUUAUCUAUCUAUCUAUCUACCUACCUACAUAUCCUCUAUCUAUUUAAAGUUACAAGCUAAGACCCAACUGUGGUUAAUGUUAGGUUUCCAUGAAUAGACGGAGACGGAACUGAGCUUUGAAGGGUAUGGAUAGUGAACAGCAAAAGGAGAGGGGUUUCUGAUAGCAGCGUCCCCCUAAUUUCUAUGUAAAGAGUUUCCUGCCUCUUCCUUGCUUAUAGCAUAAACUUCAAUUUCUCUAGAAUGGCAUGCAGUAUUUCUAACAUAUGGCUUAUAGGUUAUCAUUUUAUUCAGCUGUAAGCAAAAGAAAAUCUGACAGUGAUUUUACUCAAAUAGGGACUUAUUUUUUUUCCAUGCAAAAGGCAUGUGGAGGAAAAUAGUCCAGAGCUUUACAGGAGCCAGGUGAUGCCACUGAGGAAGCAGAAUCUUUCUGUCUUUCUCCUCUGUCAUCCUACAAACUCAUCCUCAUUUUUGGAGGGUCUCUUGGUGCCAGGAUGGCUGCUGUACCAAGAAGUAAUGGUGGGUACUCCUCAGUAGGAAGAAGGUGAGAGAGGAAGCCAAAAAUAAGCAUGCCAGUACAAAAGCCUGUCUACUUUUUAAAUGCUUUCCCAUGAUUUCCACCAGCUUACACUCUCUUUAUUCUCUCUGGCCAGUGGUUGGUCAUGCAUAGUUGCAACGGAAGCUGGUGUCUCAGUUUUCUAGCUUCAUAAUGUGGGAAGACAAGACAGAAGGGGACUGUGACUGGCUUUUCUGUUGACCUCAACUGUGGUUUCCCAAUGCUUUCCCCAGGCACCUCCAUGCACCAGUAAACACAAGUCAUCAUUCCAAGAGUGCUUCAAUCAAUUGCUCUCCUUAUUCCCUUUUUACAUGAUAUCCUCAUCCCUUUGUGGCCUGUGGAAAUUCUUCUAUGACUUCCCUAAAGGAGAUAUGUCUC